AGUACUUACUACUUAUUGCUCAAACCUAAUGACAGGACACAUAAGAACUGGACAGGACAAUGUAUGAGAGGACAAGUACAGGUGAUGUGGGCCACAGUGAUAGUGACAGGUUGUGAUAGAUCAAGACGGUACAGAAAAUUAAAGGACAGGACAGAAUAUGAUCCCUCAAUGACUGAGUGGUAUGAGAUGAACUGAACUUAGUAAAAGGGAGAAGACAGAAAUGCCAUUUCACACAUAAGUGAACUCGUACUUUAACCGUAAAAGCAGAAGUUAAAUGUCUGCACGGAUGGACUCCAAUCUCUGUUUGCCAAAACUAACCGUAAAAGCUCUAACUUUACGAGGUACAGCGAUGACGAUGAAAGCAGGAUGUUUCCGUCUAGGAAUUAAUGGAAACUACACAGGGUGCAGGGUUAAAGGGAUUUGGACGAUUAUAGUGUGCACUCUAGUUUUCUCCGCUGCUUUUUCACUGCGUUAUUACACACAUGUGGUUGAUCCAUCAGGCCUAUAAAUACGCGCAACUCGGUGUUCAUUAGCAAUUUCCCUUUGAAGGCUUUUUUAUUGGUGGGUUGACAUUUUAAAGGCACUUUGAUCCCCCCUCCCCACACGACAGGGCAAAUGUCGUCAUGAUUUUCGAAAAGGCCGGCUGCAAAAUUAGUCACAUUUCCUUCUGUGAGUCUUAAGGCAGCAGACACUCAUCUGAGUUGUGCAACUACAACAUCUGGAUUAAAACCGCAUCUGGCCUACCGCCUCCGUUUCUGCACGAUGUCGAUCGGCCGGUUGACGGCGCACGGCGACCCACAGAUAUUUCCAUUCCUCACUUUGAAGUAGCGAUCCUGGACCGAGGGGGCCAGAUACACACAGUUAGUCGGUACUCCUCUUCUCCUCUGCUCUUGUGUGUUCUCUCUUCUCCCUCCACACCACACCAGGUUUCCACUGACGCGCAGACAGAUGGAGGAAAGCCCUCCUCGUGGUGUUUGAGCAUCAUGCUUCCAGUCCAAAACAAGUAGAGGGUGAAGAAAGGAAAGGGGAUCAAAGUAGUGUGGCUUUGAGAGUCAUUUCCUCAGUGACACUCCUGUUUCAUGCGGUUUGGAGAGCUGGACGUGACGCGCUAAAGCUGCUGGUUUCAAAUCCACACUGAAGAGUUCAGAGCGGAGUUCUCGCUCUUCUCUACAGAUACACUCCUCCCUCCCUCCUUCCCUCCCUCCGUCUCUCUAUGGCUCUUUCUGUCUGUCUCCUCCAGCCUCCAGCACAUGGAGGCUUUAAAAAAAGACAUGAACUAUGUAUGUAUGUGCAGUAUGUUUGUGUGUGUGUGUGAGUGAGACACACACACACGUGGGGGACUGUGGUUAUAGUAGCUGCAUCACGUGUGUAUGUGCAUAUGUACAGUAUGUGUGCAGUGUGUGUUUGAAAGACACACACCGAAGAGGGAAACUCUCUGAGGUAGCCUGGAUAUAUUUACUGUUUACAGGCUCAGCAAGCACGUGCACACACACAGUAAAAAAGACAAAACAUACACACAUUCAUUCAAGCAGAACUGAUUGUUGUUUUCAUGUAAAUUAAGGACUAAGGACUAACUCGUCCUGAUGAUUUUGCCAACUGACCGAUCUGCUGCUGUUGACAUCACUGGCAAAUAUUUGUCUUUUGAGACACAGGGCAGACGGCCGAGUCGGACGUGUUGGCAGGCACAUGGGAGAGGAGGUGGAGUGCACAGGGCUUUAAAACAUUUGACAUUUUAGAAAAAACAAAGAACUGGGAUGACUGAAUACCUACCAAAAGUGCUGAGGUGGUGACAUUGGUAAACCUUCAACUGUUCUGUCAACCUAAGAGAGUCAACUUUCUCCACUGUAGCUCUUGUUCCAAGUUAUGAUUUAGGGCUAAUAAAAGGUAUUUAUUUUUAUAUCAGGGAUGCACUGGGUGGCACCAGCUGUGGGCUCAUAUUAUUUUAUUGCUAGACUGAGGACUACACUGAAUGUAUGCUCAGUUGUCCAAAAAUAUGAAAACAAUGCGAGGUCAUCUGCUGAAGAUUCCCCUAUAUUGUAGUGAGACCAUAGAAGCUCUUUGUCUAGUUAAAAUGUAAUUAAGGGAUGAGUGAAUAGCCAGCACCACCACUGAUCAUCACUGACGUCAAUUCUGAGAGGGGGGGCUUUGUCCGACCAUUUGUGUAACCUUAUGAAACCAACGAUUCAGCAUUCACACUCAUUUCAUGCAGUGUUUGGCCGGCUGUGCUGAAGCCAGGGAUCAGACUUCUCUAUCACGCUUUGCAUUUGGGAGAAGCAACCUGAUCUAACUUAAAGAUGCAAUCUACAUUUGUACUUAUACUUAGAGGUGCUAACCCUCAUCUGAACCACUACAGUCAUCUUCAAACUGCCCCUCUACAUGCUGUCAGUCAUGUCCACCGAAUCCCACAUUCCUGAAGCACAGUCAAGAAGAUGCCUAAAUCAACAGGACAACAAAUCUUUUCCAAAUACACAAAACCCAUGUACACUGCAUGGUCAUGGACACCUAUUCCCUUUAAGCAUCCUGCAAGAGCUGCCCCUCUCCACAGCUGAGACAGAAUCUCCUGUCUAGCACCCUGACAUAAGAUUUUUCAAGGAAGCUAAGCAGUAAAAUACCCUGAUAGUUGGAGCAAACCCUGCAGACAUCCAGGCCUCUACCUGGUGGUUGUUUCCCUACUCUCUAUAAAAUGACUAUUCUCAAAUGACAUUGAUUCACAGAGGUUCUCAAAGUGCCUCUCUGCAUGUCUCACUUUGAAAAGUACAUAUUGUAAACUUUCCUAGAUCCAAUUUUUUUGUACUAACAAGUGCUGACUUAAAGUUGAACC